rnacentral:lncRNA from 1 species
UUGUGUGGGGUAAGAGGUUGUUGGGUGAAAAGACAAAAAUAGGGCAUGUGUUUGUUGGUGUGAGUCGAUUGUUUUGGAGAGAAAGAGAGGUGUGUAAUAGAUUUUUUUUUAAUUAUUUUCUUUUUCUUUUUAUUACACCAUUCCAAUCUAAUAACUAAAAUGUUCACCAAUAUAUAUAUUAUUUUUGAUAUUUUUCACAAACAAAAAAAUCUAUGUUUUUUUCUCUACAAUUUGAGAUGCAUUUUGUUAAAUCAUUUUAAAUUUAUAUAAUAGUCUAUAUAUAUACAAUUAUAUCUGUACAUAUAUUUUUGUAUACAGCUGUUAUACAUACAUUUUUUGUACAUAUAAUAAGUGUACAGUUUGAUCUGUACAAUUGUAUUUGUACAUAUAUCCUAUUGUACAAAUACGUGUACAAUGCAAUAUAAUAGUCAAUAUAUAUACAAUUAUAUAUGUACAUAUAUUAUUGUAUACAGUUGUUAUACUUACAUUUUUCUGUACAUAUAAUAAGUGUACAAUUUGAUAUGUACAAUUGUAUUUGUAC